rnacentral:rRNA from 1 species
AGGGUAACCUUUUAGUAACGAAGCUAACGCGUGAAGUUGACCGCCUGGGGAGUACGGUCGCAAGAUUAAAACUCAAAGGAAUUGGCGGGGACCCGCACAAGCGGUGGAUGAUGUGGUUUAAUUCGAUGCAACGCGAAAAACCUUACCUACACUUGACAUGCCAGAAAUCCUGCAGAGAUGUGGGAGUGCCGCAAGGAAUCUGGGCACAGGUGCUGCAUGGCUGUCGUCAGCUCGUGUCGUGAGAUGUUGGGUUAAGUCCCGCAACGAGCGCAACCCUUGUCACUAGUUGCUACAUUUAGUUGGGCACUCUAGUGAGACUGCCGGUGACAAACCGGAGGAAGGUGGGGAUGACGUCAAGUCCUCAUGGCCCUUAUGUGUAGGGCUACACACGUCAUACAAUGGUCGGUACAGAGGGUUGCCAACCCGCGAGGGGGAGCUAAUCUCACAAAGCCGAUCGUAGUCCGGAUCGCAGUCUGCAACUCGACUGCGUGAAGUCGGAAUCGCUAGUAAUCGUGGAUCAGCAUGUCACGGUGAAUACGUUCCCGGGUCUUGUACACACCGCCCGUCACACCAUGGGAGUGGAAUCCGCCAGAAGUAGUUAGCCUAACCGCAAGGAGGGCGAUUACCACGGUAGGUUUCAUGACUGGGGUG